rnacentral:sRNA from 1 species
AGCAGCCGCGGUAAUUCCAGCUCCAAUAGCGUAUAUUAAAGUUGUUGCAGUUAAAAAGCUCGUAGUUGAAUUUCGGGGUUCUACCGUUGGUCGGGCUAUAGUCUGUACUGGCGUGUGGAAUUUCUACCUUCUGGGGAACUAUCAUGUUAUUAAUUUAGCGUGGUAGGAAACCAGAACCUUUACCUUGAAAAAAUUAGAGUGUUCAAAGCAGGCUUACGUCUGAAUACAUUAGCAUGGAAUAAUAAAAUAGGACGGUGGUCCUGUUUUGUUGGUUUCUGAAUCACCGUAAUGAUUAAUAGGGAUAGUUGGGGGCAUUAGUAUUCAAUUGUCAGAGGUGAAAUUCUUGGAUUUAUUGAAGACUAACUUCUGCGAAAGCAUUUGCCAAGGAUGUUUUCAUUAAUCAAGAACGAAAGUUAGGGGAUCGAAGACGAUCAGAUACCGUCGUAGUCUUAACCAUAAACUAUGCCGACUAGGAAUCGGACGAUGUUAAUUUUUCUUGACUCGUUCGGCGCCUUACGGG